GCAGUAGCCACGGUAAUACGAAGGGGGCUAGCGUUGUUCGGAUUUACUGGGCGUAAAGCGCACGUAGGCGGAUUGGUAAGUUAGGGGUGAAAUCCUGGAGCUCAACUCCAGAACUGCCUUUAAUACUGCCAAUCUCGAGUCCGGAAGAGGUAAGUGGAACUCCUAGUGUAGAGGUGGAAUUCGUAGAUAUUAGGAAGAACACCAGUGGCGAAGGCGGCUUACUGGUCCGGUACUGACGCUGAGGUGCGAAAGCGUGGGGAGCAAACAGGAUUAGAUACCCCCGUAGUCCCUGUCUCUUAUAC
rnacentral:rRNA from 1 species